UCGAGAAUUUUUCACAAUGGGCGAAAGCCUGAUGGAGCGACGCCGCGUGGGGGAUGAAUGGCUUCGGCCCGUAAACCCCUGUCAUUUGCGAACAAACCUCGUAAUUUAAAAGAUGACGAGCUGAUUGUAGCGAAAGAGGAAGGGACGGCUAACUCUGUGCCAGCAGCCGCGGUAAUACAGAGGUCCCAAGCGUUGUUCGGAUUCACUGGGCGUAAAGGGUGCGUAGGUGGUUAGGUAAGUCUAAUGUGAAAUCUCCGAGCUUAACUCGGAAACUGCAUCGGAUACUAUCUAGCUUGAGGGUUGGAGGGGGGACUGGAAUACUUGGUGUAGCAGUGAAAUGCGUAGAUAUCAAGUGGAACACCAGUGGCGAAGGCGAGUCCCUGGACAACUCCUGACACUGAGGCACGAAAGCUAGGGGAGCAAACAGGAUUAGAUACCCGAGUAGUCCCUGAGCGGGCUGGCAAGGCGCAU
rnacentral:rRNA from 1 species